GACACGGACCAGACUCCUACGGGAGGCAGCAGUGAGGAAUAUUGGUCAAUGGACGCAAGUCUGAACCAGCCAUGCCGCGUGCAGGAUGACGGCUCUAUGAGUUGUAAACUGCUUUUGUACGAGGGUAAACGCAGAUACGUGUAUCUGUCUGAAAGUAUCGUACGAAUAAGGAUCGGCUAACUCCGUGCCAGCAGCCGCGGUAAUACGGAGGAUUCAAGCGUUAUCCGGAUUUAUUGGGUUUAAAGGGUGCGUAGGCGGUUUGAUAAGUUAGAGGUGAAAUUUCGGGGCUCAACCCUGAACGUGCCUCUAAUACUGUUGAGCUAGAGAGUAGUUGCGGUAGGCGGAAUGUAUGGUGUAGCGGUGAAAUGCUUAGAGAUCAUACAGAACACCGAUUGCGAAGGCAGCUUACCAAACUAUAUCUGACGUUGAGGCACGAAAGCGUGGGGAGCAAACAGGAUUAGAUACCCUGGUAGUCCACGCAGUAAACGAUGAUAACUCGUUGUCGGCGAUACACAGUCGGUGACUAAGCGAAAGCGAUAAGUUAUCCACCUGGGGAGUACGUUCGCAAGAAUGAAACUCAAAGGAAUUGACGGGGGCCCGCACAAGCGGAGGAACAUGUGGUUUAAUUCGAUGAUACGCGAGGAACCUUACCCGGGCUUGAAAGUUAGCGACGAUUCUUGAAAGAGGAUUUCCCUUCGGGGCGCGAAACUAGGUGCUGCAUGGUUGUCGUCAGCUCGUGCCGUGAGGUGUCGGGUUAAGUCCCAUAACGAGCGCAACCCCUACCGUUAGUUGCCAUCAGGUGAAGCUGGGCACUCUGGCGGGACUGCCGGUGUAAGCCGAGAGGAAGGUGGGGAUGACGUCAAAUCAGCACGGCCCUUACGUCCGGGGCUACACACGUGUUACAAUGGGGGGUACAGAAGGCAGCUACCUGGUGACAGGAUGCUAAUCCCAAAAGCCUCUCUCAGUUCGGAUCGAAGUCUGCAACCCGACUUCGUGAAGCUGGAUUCGCUAGUAAUCGCGCAUCAGCCAUGGCGCGGUGAAUACGU
rnacentral:rRNA from 1 species